UACGAAGGGGGCUAGCGUUGCUCGGAAUCACUGGGCGUAAAGCGCACGUAGGCGGAUUGCUAAGUCAGGGGUGAAAUCCUGGAGCUCAACUCCAGAACUGCCUUUGAUACUGGCGAUCUUGAGUCCGGGAGAGGUGAGUGGAACUGCGAGUGUAGAGGUGAAAUUCGUAGGUAUUCGCAAGAACACCAGUGGCGAAGGCGGCUCACUGGCCCGGUACUGACGCUGAGGUGCGAAAGCGUGGGGAGCAAACAGG
rnacentral:rRNA from 1 species